rnacentral:rRNA from 1 species
UCUGGUUGAUCCUGCCUGAACUGAUGUGUUCAUUUCAAAGAUUAAGCCAUGCAUGUAUAAGUAUAAUCUGCCAGUCAGAGAAACUGCGUACGGCUCAUUACACCAGCCUUAAUUUACUUGACCUUGACACCCUACUUGGAUAACUGUGGUAAUUCUAGAGCUAAUACAUGCACCAAAGCUCCAAUCUCCCCAGAGCGGAGCGCAUUUGUUCGCCACAAAACCAAGCGCCUUAGGGCGUUCAGUGUUGACUCAGAACAACUAAGCUGAUCGCGCGGUCUUGCACCGGCGACGUGUCUUUCACGUGUCUGCCUUAUCAACUUUCGAUGGUAGUGUAUCUGACUACCAUGGUGAUGACGGGUAACGGAGGAUAAGGGUACGACUCCGGAGAAGGGGCCUGAGAAAUGGCCACUACGCCAAAGGAUGGCAGCAGGUGCGCAAAUUACCCACUCUCGACGCGAGGAGGUAGUGACGAGAAAUAACGAGACCGUUCUCAUCUGAGGCCGGUCAUCGGAAUGGGCACAAUUUAAACCCUUUAACGAGUAUCUAUGAGAGGGAAAGUCUGGUGCCAGCAGCCGCGGUAAUUCCAGCUCUCAAAAUGCAUAGAAUUAUUGCUGCGGUUAAAAAGCUCGUAGUUGGAUCUGUGCUGAGCGACCGGUCUGCCCUCUGGGUAUGCACUGGUGCACCCGGCUUUCCCGCCGGUCUCUCCCUGAUGUUGGCUUUAACCGGCUGGCAUCAGUGGGCUGGCAGCUUUACUUUGAACAAAUCAGAGUGCUUCAAACAGGCGUCUCGCCUGAAUGUUCGUGCAUGGAAUAAUAGAAGAGGAUCACGGUCCGAUUUUAUUGGUUUUGCUGACCGAGAUAAUGGUUAACAGAGACAAACGGGGCCAUUCGUAUUGCUACGUGAGAGGUGAAAUUCUUGGACCGUAGCAAGACGGACUACAGCGAAAGCAUUUGGCAAGAAUGUCUUCAUUAAUCAAGAACGAAAGUCAGAGGUUCGAAGGCGAUCAGAUACCGCCCUAGUUCUGACCGUAAACGAUGCCAACUAGCGAUCCGCCGGCGGAUUCAUUCGCCCUGGUGGGGAGCUUCCCGGAAACGAAAGUCUUCCGGUUCCGGGGGAAGUAUGUUUCGCCACCAUCUUGCCCACCGCUCAACUGGACAAAGCCAUUGUAUUGCUCAAUUGAUGGGAGCGAUGACUACAAAACCGAGGACACUGCCGAUGGGUACAAAGAAAGUCAAUAUGUCGAUUGUCGAUGCAGUGAGAAAUACUCGUUGAACGGAUCUAGUCAUCUAAUCUGCAAUAACGAAGGCAAAUGGGAUCAUGAUCUACCCAAAUGUAUGCCUAAUAAAAUACUGAAUUUUUUGAAAUAAUUUUGAAAUAGAAAGUUCAAGCUUUCGAUGAUCAAAGCAAAAAAAUAUUAAAAAAUAUAUAUAUAAUUUAAAAAAGUAAGAAAUAAUUAAAUUUAGUAACUCAAAUAUUUAUUCUGCUUAAUUUAUUAUGACCGAAAAUUUUUAAAAAUAAUAUAUUAUAUAAAUAAUAAUUCCUAUAAAUCUUAAAAGCAGAGAGCAGGUAAUUCUGGUGCCGUCAUUUGUGGCCCAUUCGAUAUAAUUCGGUCCAAACGCAACCUACGAAAAAAGAGUUUAAUAUAAAAAAUAGAGCAAAGAAUUAGCUAAAAAUAAAGCUCAUACAGCUUCGGAUUGAUCCACU